GCCGGUGUUGUUGUGAGAAGUUCAUUAAACCUUAUCAUUUAGAGGAAGGAGAAGUCGUAACAAGGUUUCCGUAGGUGAACCUGCGGAAGGAUCAUUG
rnacentral:rRNA from 1 species